GAUGAACGCUGGCGGCGUGCUUAACACAUGCAAGUCGAACGGAAAGGCCCAAGCUUGCUUGGGUACUCGAGUGGCGAACGGGUGAGUAACACGUGGGUGAUCUGCCCUGCACUUCGGGAUAAGCCUGGGAAACUGGGUCUAAUACCGGAUAGGACCACUUCUUGGAUGUUGUGGUGGAAAGUUUUUUCGGUGUGGGAUGAGCUCGCGGCCUAUCAGCUUGUUGGUGGGGUAAUGGCCUACCAAGGCGUCGACGGGUAGCCGGCCUGAGAGGGUGUACGGCCACACUGGGACUGAGAUACGGCCGAGACUCCUACGAGAGGCAGCAGUGGGGAAUAUUGCACAAUGGGCGCAAGCCUGAUGCAGCGACGCCGCGUGGGGGAUGACGGCCUUCGGGUUGUAAACUCCUUUCGCUAGGGACGAAGCGUUUUGUGACGGUACCUGGAGAAGAAGCACCGGCUAACUACGUG
rnacentral:rRNA from 1 species